UUCCAGUGUAGAGACGCAGAAGGGAUGUUCUUGGUAUAUUGGGUCUGUCAGUAGCUUUGAAAGCACCUGUGUACUCAAUUGGACCAACUUAGGAGUGGAGUGCCUUCUGUGUAAUAAAAAGUUUCUGGUCAAGUGUAGAGAGAGAGAGAGGGGGAGAGACUGGAAGGAAAAAAGGAGUGAUCGAUCUAGAUUUAGAAAGAAGGAGAAGAGGGAUCUGAUUCUCGGUUUGUUUUGGGUUUCUUGGGGGAAUUUGAUUUACCGAUCAUAGUCGGUAAUUUAGAAAGAAGAAGAAGAGGGAUUUGAGUGUAGCUUUGUUUUGGCUUGCUCGGGGGAAUUUGAGGUUUACUGGUUGUGUUAGAAGGGGGUGUACAAGGAGAAGAGGUAAUUUUGCCCUUGAGUUUAGUGAAUAAAGAAAACGCCCGAUAUUGUAGUGGGUUCGGGAAGCCUCUAUUGACCGUAGCCGUGGAACCCAGAUAACUCUCUUCACUGUUUCACUGUAUCAGAUGCAUUGAUCAAGCUCGCAGUUACGAAGGUUGGGCGGAUAACGAGUUGUAAAGGUUUGGUUUACAGAGUUUAUGUGCCAGAUUUUGAUCAUAGAUCGCCGGCGUGGGAAGAAGAAGAGGAGAGAUUCAAGAUUUUGGUGGCCUUUCGGAGCAAGGUUUGGGUUUGUUUCGGAAGAGGUUGCUGCUAGAAUUUUGAUCGAGUUUGGGAGGAAGCUUUCAAUAGCUGCUGAUCAGCUGAAACCAUUGUGCUGAUGACCGGACAUAAUAGGGAGAUCAGAUUUUAGAUCACCAAGCAACUGGCAGCGCAUGGACAACUCUUUUAAAGAAGAAUCAGGUAGUAGUGUAGUGCCUUAAAGUUACAGGGGGAACAAUAUAGAGAGCUAGAGGCUCUGUAAACAAUUUUGGAGGCAGGAAACUUUGUCUCUUAUAUUUUGCAUUACUGUUUGACACACUAUACUGAAAUGUGUGAUAUAUGAUGUUCUAUCAUUUUGAUCAAGAAUCAAAUCACUUUAGUUAGAUCUUUCAUUAUUGCAAAUUGUUAGCAACAAUAAAUCCCGCAGCAAAGCUCCGGGUACCAUUGCUAGUAUAUAGUAAAACCAAAGAUGUGUUACUGUUCACUCAGGCCCGAAAUGGAGUGACGAUUUUGCCCUUGCUACUUGCCUCAACUACAAUUUUACCAUAGUUUUACAGAUAAGCGCGAUGGAAACUUCGAGGGAGAGAGAGAGUGAUCGGCAGAGAGAUACAACAACUCUGAGAUAGAAACUCUGAGAGCGAGAGAGAGAGAGAGCAACUCUGAGAGCGAAAAAAUAAUAGAGAUUUGGGUUUGUUUUGGAAGAGGUCUGAUUUCAGUUGAUCGACAGAAACACUGAGAGAGAAGUAGAGAUCCAUAGCAAGAAUUGGAUCCAUAUUAAUCCAAGAUUGUGGUGUUUUGAUAGAAAGAGAAGUAAGAGUGUUUGGUUUCAAUUAUCUUCAAUCUGUUGUGUUGGUGGGUUUCGGGAGAGAAAGGAUUGCAGGUAUUGACAGUUGGAGAAAUUCAAGGACGUGAAUGAUACUUUCAAUCAUGUGAGCAUGUUGGAAGUGGACCAACUCGAUGCUAUUCUUCUCAUCAAAAUUGGAUUGAUACAAGAUGAUGCUGGAUAUGGCUAAUGUUUAAAAUCACCACAGGAAAUUCACAAAGCACUAGUCAUCCCCAGAUACUACUUACCCAGUCGACUUUCUCCUCCGGCCUAACCACGUCGGAACCCUUCACGGUGACGUCGGCACCGUUAAAUUCCCAUUCCGGAUUGACCCAAAAACCCCGUUCGCCACAACCCGGUUCAAUUCACAUCUUCACAAACUGAUACAGGAAUAGUAUACAUAAGCUAUGGAGGGAGAUACAGUGUGCAGUGAACAUCAGGAGGACGAAGAAGAAGAAUAUGUAUUGCUUGAUCUUGAUUCUGUUUACUCCCAGCUUCAGAUUCCACAAAACGCACCAUAUGUACUUUCAGGUUUGGAUACAAUGCAACCAGUAUUGAUUCUAGAUGGCAAAUUUAAGUUGAUCGGUCAGUGGGAUGAGACAAUUGGGACAUGUCUGUUAUUCAAAGAGGAAGCUGUCCCUGUUGUUCAUGAAGAAACAGGACCAUCAGAAGCAAACCUUUUUGCUGGCAAAUGCAUUGUUGAUCAAAAGCAAUCUUCAAGCAAGCAAGUAAAACCAGUUGGCCGCACUCAUAGGAUUCUAAAAUUCAGAUUGGCACCAGAUUUUGACUCUCCUAAUACUGCAUCUGCACAGACUGAGCAAGUAAAUUUGUAGAUCUUUUGUAGCAACUCUAAGAUUGAAACUGGUAUGAGAGGUUUAUACCUAUGUUGAUGUUACUAGCUCAUUAGCAUAAUUCUCCUUGUAGAGGUCUAUUCUAACAAGAUUAAAACUACCCUUUAUUUCAACUUACGUGAACUUAAGGGUGUUUCUAAAAACACAUGUAGAUAUGCAAUUCAAUUCUUAGUGCUUAACAUCGAGUGGAAAUGUGAAAAGCUUUUAUGUGCA